rnacentral:rRNA from 1 species
UACGAAGGGGGCUAGCGUUGCUCGGAUUGACUGGGCGUAAAGGCGCGUAGGCGGUUUGUACAGUCAGACGUGAAAUUCCCGGGCUCAACCUGGGGGCUGCGUUUGAUACGUGCAGACUUGAGUUCGGAAGAGGGUCGUGGAAUUCCCAGUGUAGAGGUGAAAUUCGUAGAUAUUGGGAAGAACACCGGUGGCGAAGGCGGCGACCUGGUCCGAUACUGACGCUGAGGCGCCGAAAGCGUGGGGAGCAAACAGG